rnacentral:tRNA from 1 species
CGGGUUUCAAAGGUUAGAGACGGGUGACAUGGGGUGUCGGGGGUCGGAGGUUCAAAUCCUCUCAUGCCGACCA